rnacentral:rRNA from 1 species
GUGUCAGCCGCCGCGGUAAUACAGAGGUGGCAAGCGUUGUUCGGAAUUACUGGGCGUAAAGGGCGCGUAGGCGGCCUUGUAAGUCCUGUGUGAAAUCCCCCGGCUCAACUGGGGAACUGCACAGGAGACUGCUUGGCUUGAGUUCGGGAGAGGGAAGCGGAAUUCCGGGUGUAGCGGUGAAAUGCGUAGAUAUCCGGAGGAACACCGGUGGCGAAGGCGGCUUCCUGGACCGACACUGACGCUGAGGCGCGAAAGCCAGGGGAGCAAACGGGAUUAGAAACCCGUGUAGUCC